GAUGAACGCUGGCGGCGUGCCUAAUACAUGCAAGUCGAGCGAACAUUUGGGGACUUGCCCCCAAUAGUUAUCGGCGGACGGGGGAGUAAAACGCGGGGAACCUGCCUCUAAGACUGGGGGAACUUCUGGAAACCGGGGCGAAUACCGGAGAACAUUUAAUACCACAUGGCCUUCAAUUAAAAGGUGGCGUUUAGCUACCACUUACAGAUGGACCCGCGGCGCAUUAGCUAGUUGGUGAGGUAACGGCUCACCAAGGCAACGAUGCGUAGCCGACCUGAGAGGGUUGACCGCCCCCCCGGGACUUGGGCCCGGGCCCGACCCCUUCGGGAGGCCGCAGUAGGGAAACUUCCGCAAUGGGGGGAAGUCUGAAGGGGCAACGCCGCGUGGGGGGAGAAGGCCUUCGGGUCGUAAAGCUCCGUUGUUAGGGAAGAAACAGAAUUGUUCGAAUAGGGCGGUAUCUUGACGGUACCUAACCAGAAAGCCACGGCUAACUACGUG
rnacentral:rRNA from 1 species